rnacentral:rRNA from 1 species
UAAGCGGAGGAAAAGAAACUAACAAGGAUUCCCCUAGUAACUGCGAGUGAAGCGGGAAAAGCUCAAAUUUAAAAUCNNNCGGCCUUUGGCCGCCCGAGUUGUAAUUUAGAGAAGCGUCUUCCGCGCCGGACCGUGCACAAGUCUCCUGGAAUGGAGCGUCAUAGAGGGUGAGAAUCCCGUCUUUGGCACGGAUCCCCGGUGCUUCUGUGAUGCGCUCUCGAAGAGUCGAGUUGUUUGGGAAUGCAGCUCAAAAUGGGUGGUGAACUCCAUCUAAAGCUAAAUAUUGGCGAGAGACCGAUAGCGAACAAGUACCGUGAGGGAAAGAUGAAAAGCACUUUGGAAAGAGAGUGAAACAGUACGUGAAAUUGUUGAAAGGGAAACGCUUGAAGUCAGUCGCGUCGACCGAGACUCAGCCUUGCCUCGGCUUGGUGUACUUCUCGGCCCGACGGGUCAGCGUCAAUUUUGCCCCUCGGAUAAUGGCAAGGGAAAGGUGGCACCUUUACGGGUGUGUUAUAGUCUCCUGUCGCAUGCGAGGGGUGGGAUUGAGGAACUCAGCGCGCACCUUGGUGUCGGGGCUUCUGCCCACGUCACGCGCUUAGGAUGCUGGCGUAAUGGCUUUAAACGACC